rnacentral:rRNA from 1 species
GACGAACGCUGGCGGCGUGCCUAAUACAUGCAAGUCGAACGAGUGGCGGACGGGUGAGUAACACGUGGGAACCUACCCAUCAGAGGGCGAUAACCCUUGGAAACAGGUGCUAAUACCGCAUACUGAUGGAUGGACACGCGGUGCAUUAGCUAGUUGGUGAGGUAACGGCUCACCAAGGCGACGAUGCAUAGCCGACCUGAGAGGAUGACCAGCCACACUGGAACUGAGACACGGUCCAGACUCCUACGGGAGGCAGCAGUGGGGAAUAUUGCACAAUGGGCGCAAGCCUGAUGCAGCCAUGCCGCGUGUGUGAAGAAGGCCUUCGGGUUGUAAAGCACUUUCAGCGGGGAGGCGUUACCCGCAGAAGAAGCACCGGCUAACUCCGUGCCAGCAGCCGCGGUAAUUC